UGGUGUUUUGUGCAAUGCAGAAAGAUC
rnacentral:piRNA from 1 species